rnacentral:rRNA from 1 species
GACGAACGCUGGCGGCGUGCUUAACACAUGCGAGUCGAACGGAAAGGCCUCUUUCGGGGGGUACUCGAGUGGCGAACGGGUGAGUAACACGUGAGUAACCUGCCCUUGACUUUGGGAUAACUUCAGGAAACUGGGGCUAAUACCGGAUAGGAGCUCCUGCUGCAUGGUGGGGGUUGGAAAGUUUCGGCGGUUGGGGAUGGACUCGCGGCUUAUCAGCUUGUUGGUGGGGUAGUGGCUUACCAAGGCUUUGACGGGUAGCCGGCCUGAGAGGGUGACCGGCCACCUUGGGACUGAGAUGCGGCCCAGACUCCUACGGGAGGCAGAAGUGGGGAAUAUUGCACAAUGGGUGGAAGCCUGAUGCAGCAACGCCGUGUGCGGGAUGACGGCCUUCGGGUUGUAAACCGAUUUCGCUCAUGACGAAGCUUUGUGUGACGGUAGUGGGUAAAGAAGCACCGGCUAACUACGUG